UAGGAGCUGCAGCUCAGUUUAGGUGCUGGAAAGUCUGUGACUGGAGGUGCUUGACCCUGCAGGGGGGCUGCUGUGCCACCAUGGAGCAGGCAUAGGAAGCUGGUGGUGAGGAGGCCUGAGAAAUGAAGCACUCCAGAGCCAGGCUGUUUCCACACUCCCAGGACCAAUUACAAGCACUGGAGUAAUGGUCAUUAGGGAGGCAGUGCACAUCCGGCCAAGAAACCCAGGAAGCCAAGUGAAACAGAUGGGAUCUUGUCCCUCCUUGCAGGGAGCUGCUGAGGUCUACGACAGCGUAUUCCAGCAAUUCCCAUUCAGAGCCAGUGUUUUCCCUUUCCACUGUGCUGCCCAAAGGCAGCCAAGGGAAUCCUCUGUCUGUCUCUGCUGUCAUUUGCCUGUUGAAGGCCUCUGGGCCAGUUACAAACCCUCCAACCCUCCAGUUUAAAGUCCAACCCCACCGACUGCUGCUCUUAUCACAAGAAGAGUUGAAAAGGGAAACAUUCUAAAAGGCAAAAAAGAAAAAUUAAGCUUAAAAUAAAUAUAUAUUAACAUGAA